UUUUGUGUGAUUUCGAGUUUUUAUGGAAAAGAUAUGAAUGUUCAAAGAUAAGGUGUCAAUUUCAUACCUACUGUCACUUCUUUUGGGCAUUACAUACGAAUACGGAGAGCAACGGAAGAUCGGCGACUGGAUUUGGAGGGAGCAUUUUUUCGGCUACACAUUCUACUUACUGUAUAGUGAAUUCUAAGAUUGGGUGAAGGAGUUAUGAGGCGUUGAAGACAGCACUUGUAAUUUGAAGGCAGUAAGUAUAUCGUAUGUUGCUAGUUAUGGGUGAAGCUAUAUCUUGAGUUUUUGGACGAAUUUUUGGCUCAAAAUUUCCAUAAGUGUGUGUAAUUGGGUUAAGAAGCUUUAAAUCAAAGUUUCAUAGUAUUUGAAUAAUUACUUUGUGAGAUAUGAAGGAAGUUGUACACGGGUGUAAAAAAGCUAGGGUUUGAAGCUAUAGUUAGGGUUUUCAAGAUAUCACAAGAUUUAAGACGAAUUUAC
rnacentral:lncRNA from 1 species